rnacentral:rRNA from 2 species
UUGGAGGGCAAGUCUGGUGCCAGCAGCCGCGGUAAUUCCAGCUCCAAUAGCGUAUAUUAAAGUUGUUGCAGUUAAAAAGCUCGUAGUUGAAUUUCGGGAUCAAUAUUUCGGUCAUGCCGUUGGUAUGCACUGUUAUCAUUGAUUUCUCACCUUCUAAAGAACCGUAAUGCCAUUAAUUUGGUGUUACGGGGAAUUAGGACUGUUACCUUGAAAAAAUUAGAGUGUUUAAAGCAGGCUCACGCUUGAAUACAUUAGCAUGGAAUAAUGAAAUAGGACAUCCGAUUCUAUUUUGUUGGUUUCUAGGAUCGAUGUAAUGAUUAAUAGGGAUAGUUGGGGGCAUUAGUAUUCAAUUGUCAGAGGUGAAAUUCUUGGAUUUAUUGAAGACUAACUACUGCGAAAGCAUUUGCCAAGGAUGUUUUCAUUAAUCAAGAACGAAAGUUAGGGGAUCGAAGACGAUCAGAUACCGUCGUAGUCUUAACCAUAAACUAUGCCGACUAGGGAUCGGAGAGUUAAUUUUUUAAUGACUCAUUCGGCGCCUUACGGGAAAC